rnacentral:rRNA from 1 species
UUAAGUUAUUAAGGGCGCACGGUGGAUGCCUUGGCACUAGAAGCCGAUGAAGGACGUUACUAACGACGAUAUGCUUUGGGGAGCUGUAAGUAAGCUUUGAUCCAGAGAUUUCCGAAUGGGGAAACCCAGCAUGAGUUAUGUCAUGUUAUCGAUAUGUGAAUACAUAGCAUAUCAGAAGGCACACCCGGAGAACUGAAACAUCUUAGUACCCGGAGGAAGAGAAAGAAAAUUCGAUUCCCUUAGUAGCGGCGAGCGAAACGGGAAGAGCCCAAACCAACAAGCUUGCUUGUUGGGGUUGUAGGACACUCUGUACGGAGUUACAAAGGACGACAUUAGACGAAUCAUCUGGAAAGAUGAAUCAAAGAAGGUAAUAAUCCUGUAGUCGAAAAUGUUGUCUCUCUUGAGUGGAUCCUGAGUACGACGGAGCACGUGAAAUUCCGUCGGAAUCUGGGAGGACCAUCUCCUAAGGCUAAAUACUCUCUAGUGACCGAUAGUGAACCAGUACCGUGAGGGAAAGGUGAAAAGCACCCCGGAAGGAGAGUGAAAUAGAACCUGAAACCGUGUGCUUACAAGUAGUCAGAGCCCGUUAAUGGGUGAUGGCGUGCCUUUUGUAGAAUGAACCGGCGAGUUACGAUUUGAUGCAAGGUUAAGCAGUAAAUGUGGAGCCGUAGCGAAAGCGAGUCUGAAUAGGGCGUUUAGUAUUUGGUCGUAGACCCGAAACCAGGUGAUCUACCCUUGGUCAGGUUGAAGUUCAGGUAACACUGAAUGGAGGACCGAACCGACUUACGUUGAAAAGUGAGCGGAUGAACUGAGGGUAGCGGAGAAAUUCCAAUCGAACCUGGAGAUAGCUGGUUCUCUCCGAAAUAGCUUUAGGGCUAGCCUCAAGUGAUGAUUAUUGGAGGUAGAGCACUGUUUGGACGAGGGGCCCCUCUCGGGUUACCGAAUUCAGACAAACUCCGAAUGCCAAUUAAUUUAACUUGGGAGUCAGAACAUGGGUGAUAAGGUCCGUGUUCGAAAGGGAAACAGCCCAGACCACCAGCUAAGGUCCCAAAAUAUAUGUUAAGUGGAAAAGGAUGUGGCGUUGCCCAGACAACUAGGAUGUUGGCUUAGAAGCAGCCAUCAUUUAAAGAGUGCGUAAUAGCUCACUAGUCGAGUGACACUGCGCCGAAAAUGUACCGGGGCUAAACAUAUUACCGAAGCUGUGGAUUGUCCUUUGGACAAUGGUAGGAGAGCGUUCUAAGGGCGUUGAAGCAUGAUCGUAAGGACAUGUGGAGCGCUUAGAAGUGAGAAUGCCGGUGUGAGUAGCGAAAGACGGGUGAGAAUCCCGUCCACCGAUUGACUAAGGUUUCCAGAGGAAGGCUCGUCCGCUCUGGGUUAGUCGGGUCCUAAGCUGAGGCCGACAGGCGUAGGCGAUGGAUAACAGGUUGAUAUUCCUGUACCACCUAUAAUCGUUUUAAUCGAUGGGGGGACGCAGUAGGAUAGGCGAAGCGUGCGAUUGGAUUGCACGUCUAAGCAGUAAGGCUGAGUAUUAGGCAAAUCCGGUACUCGUUAAGGCUGAGCUGUGAUGGGGAGAAGACAUUGAGUCUUCGAGUCGUUGAUUUCACACUGCCGAGAAAAGCCUCUAGAUAGAAAAUAGGUGCCCGUACCGCAAACCGACACAGGUAGUCAAGAUGAGAAUUCUAAGGUGAGCGAGCGAACUCUCGUUAAGGAACUCGGCAAAAUGACCCCGUAACUUCGGGAGAAGGGGUGCUCUUUAGGGUUAACGCCCAGAAGAGCCGCAGUGAAUAGGCCCAAGCGACUGUUUAUCAAAAACACAGGUCUCUGCUAAACCGUAAGGUGAUGUAUAGGGGCUGACGCCUGCCCGGUGCUGGAAGGUUAAGAGGAGUGGUUAGCUUCUGCGAAGCUACGAAUCGAAGCCCCAGUAAACGGCGGCCGUAACUAUAACGGUCCUAAGGUAGCGAAAUUCCUUGUCGGGUAAGUUCCGACCCGCACGAAAGGCGUAACGAUUUGGGCACUGUCUCAACGAGAGACUCGGUGAAAUCAUAGUACCUGUGAAGAUGCAGGUUACCCGCGACAGGACGGAAAGACCCCGUGGAGCUUUACUGUAGCCUGAUAUUGAAAUUCGGCACAGCUUGUACAGGAUAGGUAGGAGCCUUUGAAACGUGAGCGCUAGCUUACGUGGAGGCGCUGGUGGGAUACUACCCUAGCUGUGUUGGCUUUCUAACCCGCACCACUUAUCGUGGUGGGAGACAGUGUCAGGCGGGCAGUUUGACUGGGGCGGUCGCCUCCUAAAAGGUAACGGAGGCGCUCAAAGGUUCCCUCAGAAUGGUUGGAAAUCAUUCAUAGAGUGUAAAGGCAUAAGGGAGCUUGACUGCGAGACCUACAAGUCGAGCAGGGUCGAAAGACGGACUUAGUGAUCCGGUGGUUCCGCAUGGAAGGGCCAUCGCUCAACGGAUAAAAGCUACCCCGGGGAUAACAGGCUUAUCUCCCCCAAGAGUUCACAUCGACGGGGAGGUUUGGCACCUCGAUGUCGGCUCAUCGCAUCCUGGGGCUGUAGUCGGUCCCAAGGGUUGGGCUGUUCGCCCAUUAAAGCGGUACGCGAGCUGGGUUCAGAACGUCGUGAGACAGUUCGGUCCCUAUCCGUCGUGGGCGUAGGAAAUUUGAGAGGAGCUGUCCUUAGUACGAGAGGACCGGGAUGGACAUACCUCUGGUGUACCAGUUGUCGUGCCAACGGCAUAGCUGGGUAGCUAUGUGUGGACGGGAUAAGUGCUGAAAGCAUCUAAGCAUGAAGCCCCCCUCAAGAUGAGAUUUCCCAACUUCGGUUAUAAGAUCCCUCAAAGAUGAUGAGGUUAAUAGGUUCGAGGUGGAAGCAUGGUGACAUGUGGAGCUGACGAAUACUAAUCGAUCGAAGACUUAAUCAA